UGACUNGAGUGCAGAAGGGGAGAGUGGAAUUCCAUGUGUAGCGGUGAAAUGCGUAGAUAAAUGGAGGAACACCAGUGGCGAAAGCGGCUCUCUGGUCUGUCACUGACGCUGAGGCUCGAAAGCGUGGGUAGCGAACAGGAUUAGAUACCCUGGUAGUNCACGCCGUAAACGAUGAGUGCUAGGUGUUAGGCCCUUUCCGNGGCUUAGUGCCGGAGCUAACGCAAUAAGCACUCCGCCUGGGGAGUACGACCGCAAGGUUGAAACUCAAGGGAAUUGACGGGGGCCCGCACAAGCGGUGGAGCAUGUGGUUUAAUUCGAAGCAACGCGAAGAACCUUACCAGGUCUUGACAUCCCGAUGCUAUUCUUAGAGAUAGGAAGUUACUUCGGUACAUCGGAGACAGGUGGUGCAUGGUUGUCGUCAGCUCGUGUCGUGAGAUGUUGGGUUAAGUCCCGCAACGAGCGCAACCCUUAUUGUUAGUUGCCAUCAUUAAGUUGGGCACUCUAGCGAGACUGCCGGUAAUAAACCGGAGGAAGGUGGGGAUGACGUCAAAUCAUCAUGCCCCUUAUGACCUGGGCUACACACGUGCUACAAUGGUCGGUACAACGAGUUGCGAGCCGGUGACGGCAAGCUAAUCUCAGAAAGCCGAUCUCAGUUCGGAUUGGAGGCUGCAANU
rnacentral:rRNA from 1 species